UAACACCAAGGAUGAAAUUUGAGAGAUCAAAAUCAGAUUCUCCUUUGUAAUAUGAGAAUAUGGCGCCAUUAUGAUUUUCGUUUUCUUUGGACAAAAUAUUUGGAUGUAUGUAACUCCUUGCAAACUACAAUUGUCAUUUUAUCUGUAGGUGGUUAUUGUUUUCCUUGCACCGAGUUCAGACCAGCUGGAAUUAUUCUUGCUUGCAAAGCUUAGGACAUGCGGCUCUCCAUUUACUCCAACAUUUCAAUGUAGCAGUCUCUUUAUCAUAUCUACUUUCUUUUGCUGCAGUGGGGUUUCAGCGGAAAGCCAAGACAAUACAAGUGAGAUAGCUAGCCGCACAAAUCAGUUGUUUGGACACGUGAAGUGUCUUAUGUCAUUGGUGGAUCUCCCAUGGGCUGGAUUUUGUGUGUGUGGCCUGAAGGAAAAGAAGAAUGGCUGUCACUUCAAGCUGAAAAGUCAUAUCACUCACUCAGCCACUCAGGUUGGAGGUUGCUAGCGGGGAAGUUGGUUAUUAUUCAAUCUCGUUUUGGCCAGUUAUGGAGAUACAGACAAGGAAAGUGGCUUUCGCUGGCGUGUGGUAUAUGUUUCAGAAUGGUGCGGAAGGGUUGAGCAGCGAUAGAGAUUUUUUUAGUCCUAGAUUUUUUACUACCGAGAAUGCUUUUGGUAAUGUUUACGGAUGUUCUCAGCCAGAGUUGGGCUUCCUUGUCGACGACUUGCCAUCUCGAGCACCUCUGCAGCCAGGCUCUGGAUGUCCAGGAGUUUCUUACACCACAGCAUUAUUGUUCGUGGAGUCCAUUGUUGUUGCAGGUCUACCCAUUCUGGCUGUUUUCCGGCAUUGUUUCUGGCUGUUAGGUUGUACGUCAUCUCACCCAAACAAUGCUGGAUUCAGAGAAGGCGGGGGUCUGUGGAUGCUAGCAAGUGAGGCAACUUGGCUCGGACCGGCCAUAGCGCUGGUGUUGAUGUCUCCCCAGUCCCCACCGUCCUCCUUUGUCUCCCAGCCACGGCUGGCUUCAGUCCCUCCUCUGAUGUGAUGCUAUGUGAGCAAGAAAAAGAGCAAAAAAGUUAUGUAUCACCAUCCAGCGUCCACACAGCCAGAUUAGUUUUGGAUAACACAUGUACUCUGACCUGCUCAAUAGUCUGAAAUGCCUUCAUUAUUAGGCAGAUAAUGAUACUGCUCUGAAUAAUUCUUUUUUGUUUAGAGCAACGGUGUUUUCAGUAACUCUCCUAGGUAUAGGGUGUUCGUCAACAGCUACUUGCAAGGUGAAGAGAUGUCAACACUUCGUUUUUGAGCCGUGGCCUGUGAGGUACUGAGUACCGUGUCUUCCAUGUGCCCCUGACAAUCUUCGGCAUGCCAACCUUUAAUUUACCAUGUAGAAAUUAUCUAGCUUGAUUCAAUCCACCGGUGUUAUUUUAGGAGAUGCGUGCUGAACUGAAGUAGCUGUAUCAUCAACUGCAAGGUUAAUUAUUAUGUUAUUUUCUUUUGACCUGGAGGUUGAAAACAUGUGGAGGAGGGCAUCACGCCAUGCAAUGACACGAGGGAUCAGCUAGAAACAAGCGGAAGCUUUAACCUGAGAUGUUUAAGAUCUCUGAUGCACAUGGAGCUAGGUCUUUCACAUGUCUUACUCGGUAUGCAGGACAAUGCGGCGCGGAAGGUCUCAUUUAGUUCAGCAGUCGGAUAUCUGUUUGAAAGAUGCGGCGGGCACAAAUAAGUUGUUGUUAAGCCAUAUUUCUACGUCUCAUCCCUCUCUAAUUCUGACCACUCAAGUCCAUGUGGUUUUCUUCAUUUGAUCCUCUGUGCAGCAGCAAAGGCUUGGUCCAUUUGUCUUCCGCAAGAUGCGGAAUGAUGUUUUCUUGGCCCAGGCACGUGACGAAAUAUGAUUUGGAGGCUGACUGCUUUAGUUCUCCUUAUGAUGAUGUGAAUAAAAGGAAGCUUGCCUAUAGCCAUCUUGGUAUUGGAAACAAGUAUGCAAAGACGAGGGGACAAGGAGGUGAGCAAGGGCGAUGAGGGAGGAGCAGACUCACCGACUCGGACUCCUGGGCGAUUUUCAAUGGGGAGCAGGUGACCAAAGUUGAGUAGCUCGGUGAGAUUGUUUUGGCUCAUGUCAUGAAGAGACUGGUCCGAGGGAGGUGACACUGAAUGUGCUGAGCCGAUGUCAUCUGAAGAAUCAAGUACCAAGAUAUUGCUGCUCUAGGCUAGCAUCUGCCACUACUCGAUGUGUUGCUGCUCCAAGGCCAGGUACGGGGGCGAUGUGCUUGGUCCAGUGGAGGAAAGCGUCGUGGGAGAAGAGGAACAUCAGGAGCGGUUGAGAUUGAGCAGGAGAUGAAGGGGUGUUGCCAUGCGCAUCACCGUGCCCGGUUUACCUUGGGCUCAUCAUCAAGUACGAUGGCAGGAGUUGGGUCUGAUCCAGAGGCGGUGUGGUUAGCGAGUCAUUUGUUCUUUUUAAGUAUUAGCAAACUUUUGUUGACAUCAUGCCAAAUGUCCAUGAAUCAAAAUAGAAACCUUAGGGCCGAAUCUGUGUCUCCAUUUUGCGAAUUGCGCCAUGAGUCCUGUGUUCUUUUUAAGUAUUAGCAAACUUUUGGCGACAUCAUGCCAAAUGUCCAUGAAUCAAAAUAGAAACCUUAGGGCCAAAUCUGUGUCUCCA